rnacentral:rRNA from 1 species
UACGGAGGGGGCUAGCGAUGUUCGGAGUUACUGGGCGUAAAGCGCACGUAGGCGGACAGUUAAGUCGGGGGUGAAAUCCCGGGGCUCAACCCCGGAACUGCCUUCGAUACUGGCUGUCUGGAGGUCGAGAGAGGUGAGUGGAAUUCCGAGUGUAGAGGUGAAAUUCGUAGAUAUUCGGAGGAACACCAGUGGCGAAGGCGGCUCACUGGCUCGAUACUGACGCUGAGGUGCGAAAGCGUGGGGAGCAGACAGG